rnacentral:rRNA from 1 species
GGCGGCGUGCUUAACACAUGCAAGUCGAACGAUGAACCGCUUUCGGGCGGGGAUUAGUGGCGAACGGGUGAGUAACACGUGGGCAAUCUGCCCUGCACUCUGGGACAAGCCCUGGAAACGGGGUCUAAUACCGGAUAUGACUGUCCAUCGCAUGGUGGAUGGUGUAAAGCUCCGGCGGUGCAGGAUGAGCCCGCGGCCUAUCAGCUUGUUGGUGAGGUAGUGGCUCACCAAGGCGACGACGGGUAGCCGGCCUGAGAGGGCGACCGGCCACACUGGGACUGAGACACGGCCCAGACUCCUACGGGAGGCAGCAGUGGGGAAUAUUGCACAAUGGGCGAAAGCCUGAUGCAGCGACGCCGCGUGAGGGAUGACGGCCUUCGGGUUGUAAACCUCUUUCAGCAGGGAAGAAGCGAAAGUGACGGUACCUGCAGAAGAAGCGCCGGCUAACUACGUGCCAGCAGCCGCGGUAAUACGUAGGGCGCAAGCGUUGUCCGGAAUUAUUGGGCGUAAAGAGCUCGUAGGCGGCUUGUCACGUCGGUUGUGAAAGCCCGGGGCUUAACCCCGGGUCUGCAGUCGAUACGGGCAGGCUAGAGUUCGGUAGGGGAGAUCGGAAUUCCUGGUGUAGCGGUGAAAUGCGCAGAUAUCAGGAGGAACACCGGUGGCGAAGGCGGAUCUCUGGGCCGAUACUGACGCUGAGGAGCGAAAGCGUGGGGAGCGAACAGGAUUAGAUACCCUGGUAGUCCACGCCGUAAACGGUGGGCACUAGGUGUGGGCAACAUUCCACGUUGUCCGUGCCGCAGCUAACGCAUUAAGUGCCCCGCCUGGGGAGUACGGCCGC